CUAAGUUCAGCGGGUAUUCCUACCUGAUCCGAGGUCAACCUUGGUAAAGUUGGGAUUUUACGGCGUGGCACCACCACUAUCCAGCUGCGAGGUAUCGCUACUACACAGAGGAGAUCGCGGUAGAGCCGCCACUGCAUUUCGGGGCCGGCCUCCCGGGGGGGGGCCGAUCCCCAACACCAGUUCCCGCGAACGGGCCCUGA
rnacentral:misc_RNA from 1 species